GCUAGGAUGAACGCUAGCGACAGGCUUAACACAUGCAAGUCGAGGGCAGCAUAAAAGUAGCAAUACUUGGUGGCGACCGGCGCACGGGUGAGUAACGCGUAUGCAACCUACCUAUCAGAGGGGAAUAACCCGGCGAAAGUCGGACUAAUACCGCAUAAAACAGGGGCACCGCAUGGUGAUAUUUGUUAAAGAAAUUCGCUGAUAGAUGGGCAUGCGUUCCAUUAGGUAGUUGGUGAGGUAACGGCUCACCAAGCCGACGAUGGAUAGGGAACUGAGAGGUUGGUCCCCCACACUGGUACUGAGACACGGACCAGACUCCUACGGGAGGCAGCAGUGAGGAAUAUUGGUCAAUGGGCGAGAGCCUGAACCAGCCAAGUCGCGUGAAGGAAGAAGGAUCUAUGGUUCGUAAACUUCUUUUGCAGGGGAAUAAAGUGCAGGACGUGUCCUGUUUUGUAUGUACCCUGAGAAUAAGGAUCGGCUAACUCCGUGCCAGCCGCCGC
rnacentral:rRNA from 1 species